GUACUCUCACACUCUAAUUAAAUUUGGAGACGUGGACUUGGGUGUUGCCGCUUUGCUGUGGCUCAUCUUAAAUAUGCUAGUGCAACUCCUAGUUGGAUAUAGUACAGCGUGAUAAGUAUCCUCGCUGGCACCUCAUGAAGAGGGUAUCCGAUUGAGGGCUCUGUGCUUCAAACUGUCCCGUCUGGGACAAUCUUUGACA
rnacentral:misc_RNA from 1 species